UAGGGAAUCUUCCGCAAUGGACGAAAGUCUGACGGAGCAACGCCGCGUGAACGAAGAAGGCCUUCGGGUCGUAAAGUUCUGUUGUUAGGGAAGAACAAGUACCAGAGUAACUGCUGGUACCUUGACGGUACCUAACCAGAAAGCCACGGCUAACUACGUGCCAGCAGCCGCGGUAAUACGUAGGUGGCAAGCGUUGUCCGGAAUUAUUGGGCGUAAAGCGCGCGCAGGUGGUUCCUUAAGUCUGAUGUGAAAGCCCACGGCUCAACCGUGGAGGGUCAUUGGAAACUGGGGAACUUGAGUGCAGAAGAGGAGAGUGGAAUUCCACGUGUAGCGGUGAAAUGCGUAGAGAUGUGGAGGAACACCAGUGGCGAAGGCGACUCUCUGGUCUGUAACUGACGCUGAGGAGCGAAAGCGUGGGGAGCGGAACAGGAUUAGAUACCCUGGUAGUCCACGCCGUAAACGAUGAGUGCUAAGUGUUAGAGGGUUUCCGCCUUUAGUGCUGCAG
rnacentral:rRNA from 1 species